CCUACGGGAGGCAGCAGUGGGGAAUAUUGCACAAUGGGGGAAACCCUGAUGCAGCGACGCCGCGUGAGUGAAGAAGUAAUUCGUUACGUAAAGCUCUAUCAGCAGGGAAGAAACACUGACCUUACGGUCAGCAGACGGUACCUGAGUAAGCAGCCCCGGCUAAAUACGUGCCAGCAGCCGCGGUAAUACGUAGGGGGCAAGCGUUAUCCGGAUUUACUGGGUGUAAAGGGAGCGUAGACGGUGCGCCAAGUCUGGAGUGAAAUGCCGCAGCUUAACUGCGGAACUGCUUUGGAAACUGGCGAACUAGAGUGCGGGAGGGGUAAGCGGAAUUCCUAGUGUAGCGGUGAAAUGCGUAGAUAUUAGGAGGAACACCGGUGGCGAAGGCGGCUUACUGGACCGUAACUGACGUUGAGGCUCGAAAGCGUGGGGAGCAAACAGGAUUAGAUACCCCAGUAGUC
rnacentral:rRNA from 1 species